UACAGAGGGUGCAAGCGUUAAUCGGAAUUACUGGGCGUAAAGGGCGCGUAGGUGGGAAAAUAAGUCAGAUGUGAAAGCCCCGGGCUUAACCUGGGAACUGCAUAUGAAACUGUUUUUCUAGAGUGGAGUAGAGGGCAGUGGAAUUUCCGGUGUAGCGGUGAAAUGCGUAGAUAUCGGAAGGAACACCAGUGGCGAAGGCGGCUGCCUGGACUCUAACUGACACUGAGGCGCGAAAGCGUGGGGAGCGAACAGG
rnacentral:rRNA from 1 species